rnacentral:rRNA from 1 species
AUUGAACGCUGGCGGCAGGCCUAACACAUGCAAGUCGAACGAGUGGCGGACGGGUGAGUAAUGUAUGGGGAACUGCCUGAUGGAGGGGGAUAACUACUGGAAACGGUAGCUAAUAACGCAUACCAUCGGAUGUACCCAGAUGGGAUUAGCUAGUAGGUGGGGUAAAGGCUCACCUAGGCGACGAUCCCUAGCUGGUCUGAGAGGAUGACCAGCCACACGGGGACUGAGACACGGUCCAGACUCCUACGGGAGGCAGCAGUGGGGAAUAUUGCACAAUGGGCGCAAGCCUGAUGCAGCCAUGCCGCGUGUAUGAAGAAGGCCUUCGGGUUGUAAAGUACUUUCAGCGGGGAGGCGUUACCCGCAGAAGAAGCACCGGCUAACUCCGUGCCAGCAGCCGCGGUAAUUC